rnacentral:rRNA from 1 species
UGCAAGUCGAGCGAGGGCUUAUUUCUCGCAAGAGAGAUAAUUCCUAGCGGCGAACGGGUGAGUAACACGUGGGCAACCUUUCCUAUCGCGGGGGAUAACACCGGGAAACCGAUGCUAAUACCGCAUGUCGUCACCGGUCGCAUGGCCGGUGAAGAAAGCAGCAAUGCACGAUGGGGUGGGCCCGCGGCCUAUCAGCUAGUCGGUGGGGUAACGGCCUACCGAGGCGAUGACGGGUAGCUGGUCUGAGAGGACGGCCAGCCACACGGGGACUGAGACACGGCCCCGACUCCUACGGGAGGCAGCAGUGAGGAAUCUUCCGCAAUGGGCGAAAGCCUGACGGAGCGACGCCGCGUGUGGGAUGAAGUCUUUCGGGAUGUAAACCACUGUCGGAGGGGAAGACAUCGACGGUACCCUCCAAGAAAGCCCCGGCUAACUACGUGCCAGCAGCCGCGGUAAUACGUAGGGGGCAAGCGUUAUCCAGAUUUACUGGGCGUAAAGCGCGUGUAGGCGGCUGGUUAGGUGUGAUGUGAAAUCUUCCGGCUCAACCGGAAAACUGCAUUGCAAACCGGCCUGGCUAGAGUGCAGGAGAGGGAAGCGGAAUUCCAGGUGUAGCGGUGAAAUGCGUAGAUAUCUGGAGGAACACAGUGGCGAAGCGGCUUCCUGGCCUGCAACUGACGCUGAGACGCGAAAGCGUGGGGAGCGAACCGGAUUAAUACCCGGGUAGUCCACGCCCUAAACGUUGUGAACUAGUGUUGGUCGGAUUGACCCGAUCAGUGCCGCAGCUAAC